UACGUAGGGUGCGAGCGUUGUCCGGAAUUAUUGGGCGUAAAGAGCUUGUAGGCGGUCUGUCGCGUCUGCUGUGGAAAAUCCGGGGCUCAACCCCGGACUUGCAGUGGGUACGGGCAGACUAGAGUGUGGUAGGGGAGACUGGAAUUCCUGGUGUAGCGGUGAAAUGCGCAGAUAUCAGGAGGAACACCGAGUGGCGAAGGCAGGUCUCUGGGCCAC
rnacentral:rRNA from 1 species